rnacentral:rRNA from 1 species
CCUACGGGGGGCUGCAGUGGGGAAUAUUGGGCAAUGGGCGAAAGCCUGACCCAGCAACGCCGCGUGAAGGAAGAAGGCCUUCGGGUCGUAAACUUCUUUUCUCAGGGACGAAGAAAGUGACGGUACCUGAGGAAUAAGCCACGGCUCACUACGUGCCAGCAGCCGCGGUAAUACGUAGGUGGCAAGCGUUCUCCGGUUUUAUUUGGGGUAAAGGGCGUGUAGGCGGGAGAGCAAGUCCGAAGUGGAAACUCAGGGCUCAACCCUGAGCCUGCAUUUGAAACUGUGUUUCUUGAGUGCUGGAGAGGCAAUCGGAAUUCCGUGUGUAGCGGUGAAAUGCGUAGAUAUACGGAGGAACACCAGUGGCGAAGGCGGAUUGCUGGACAGUAACUGACGCUGAGGCGCGAAAGCGUGGGGAGCAAACAGGAUUAGAUACCCGAGUAGUC